AACCCAUCAAAAGUUGAUUUGAACCCAUCAAAAUUGGUCUAAACCCAUCAAAAUUGGUCUGAACCCAUCCAAAGUUGGCUUAAAACCAUC